GCAUAUCAAUAAGCGGAGGAAAAGAAACCAACAGGGAUUGCCUCAGUAACGGCGAGUGAAGCGGCAACAGCUCAAAUUUGAAAUCUGGUCCCCUCUGGGGGCCCGAGUUGUAAUUUGAAGAGGAUGCUUUUGGCGAGGCGCCUUCCGAGUGCCCUGGAACGGGACGCCACAGAGGGUGAGAGCCCCGUAUGGUAGGACGCCGAGCCUCUGUAAAGCUCCUUCGACGAGUCGAGUAGUUUGGGAAUGCUGCUCAAAAUGGGAGGUAAACCCCUUCUAAAGCUAAAUAUUGGCCAGAGACCGAUAGCGCACAAGUAGAGUGAUCGAAAGAUGAAAAGCACUUUGAAAAGAGAGUUAAACAGCACGUGAAAUUGUUGAAAGGGAAGCGCUUGCGACCAGACUUGCGCCCGUCGGAUCAACCGUCCCUCGUGGGCGGCGCACUCCGGCGGGCUCAGGCCAGCAUCAGUUUUCCUGGGGGUAGAAAGGCGGUGGGAAUGUAGCUCUUCGGAGUGUUAUAGCCCGCCGCGUAAUGCCCUCGGGGGGACUGAGGACCGCGCGUAUGCAAGGAUGCUGGCGUAAUGGUCGUCAGCGACCCGUCUUGAAACACGGACCAAGGAGUCGUCCUAAUAUGCGAGUGUACGGGUGUAAAACCCCUGCGCGUAAUGAAAGUGAACGGAGGUGAGAGCUUCGGCGCAUCAUCGACCGAUCCUGAUGUUCUCGGAUGGAUUUGAGUAAGAGCAUAUUGGGCCGGACCCGAAAGAAGGUGAACUAUGCCUGUAUAGGGUGAAGCCAGAGGAAACUCUGGUGGAGGCUCGCAGCGGUUCUGACGUGCAAAUCGAUCGUCAAAUAUGGGCAUGGGGGCGAAAGACUAAUCGAACCUUCUAGUAGCUGGUUUCCGCCGAA
rnacentral:rRNA from 1 species